UACGGAGGGGGGCUAGCGUUGUUCGGAAUUACUGGGCGUAAAGCGCACGUAGGCGGCUUUGUAAGUUAGAGGUGAAAGCCCGGGGCUCAACUCCGGAAUUGCCUUUAAGACUGCAUCGCUAGAAUUGUGGAGAGGUAAGUGGAAUUCCGAGUGUAGAGGUGAAAUUCGUAGAUAUUCGGAAGAACACCAGUGGCGAAGGCGACUUACUGGACACAUAUUGACGCUGAAGUGCGAAAGCGUGGGGAGCAAACAGG
rnacentral:rRNA from 1 species